rnacentral:rRNA from 1 species
GACGAACGCUGGCGGCGUGCUUAACACAUGCGAGUCGAACGGAAAGGCCCUGCUUUUGGGGGGUGCUCGAGUGGCGAACGGGUGAGUAACAAGUGAGUAACCUGCCCUUGACUUUGGGAUAACUUCAGGAAACUGGGGCAGAUACCGGAUAGGAACUCCUGCUGAAUGGUGGGGGUUGGAAAGGUUCGGCGGGUGGGGAUGGACUCGCGGCUUAUCAGCGUGUUGGUGGGGUAGUGGCUUACCAAGGCGUUGACGGGUCGCCGGCCUGAGAGGGUGACCGGCCACAUUGGGACUGAGAUACGGCCCAGACUCCUACGGGAGGCAGCAGUGGGGAAUAUUGCACAAUGGGCGGAAGCCUGAUGCAGCAACGCCGCGUGCGGGAUGACGGCCUUCGGGUUGUAAACCGCUUUCGCCUGUGACGAAGCGUGAGUGACGGUAAUGGGUAAAGAAGCACCGGCUAACUCCGUG